CUGCGCAUCCAACCUCCCUCCCUCCCUCCUCCAGAAAUCUAAUCUCUCUCACUCGUAUCAGCCGUUCGCCACGUCCAUCACCGGUGGUGGUCUGAUGGCCCUUGGUUCGCCGGCCGAUCGUACGAGUGAUCUCCUUCCGCAUCAGCACCGAUGAGAUUCAGUCGGCGGUCACAUCGUCUCGUCGUGCAAUCCAAGCUACAGAUUCUUCUUCACGAAUGCACGACGCGAGUGGAUGUGCGGGCUACUACCGCUAAGGCCUGCGAAUGGCCCAUCCUAUCCUAUCCUGGUGGCUUCGGCCCGCCACCAAAAUGCAGCCCAGCACCGCCGUCAUUUCCGCUCGAGCUAGUGUCCCCCUCGACGGAGAGGAGCAGAGCGGCUCCUCCUCCCCCUCGACGCCAAGCCAACCAGCAGUCAGUCAGCAUCUCAUUAGCUUUCAUCUCUGUUUGGUUUUGAUGCAGGCCAAGCCAAGCAGCAGGCAGCCCCUCCUAAACUCCUCCUGCUAUUAGUACAAGGGGACUACUUCCCUCUGUUCCUUCGCAAGAUGAAGUAGGGCACCGAACCCCCCUCCUAGCUUCUGAAUUUGAUUUUAAAGGUGACCCAUUCUCUUUUGCAAGCUCUUCUCUUGUUCCUCGCUGGACGCAUGCAAAAAAAAGCACUAAGUAGGAAAUGUGCCGUCUGCGGGAGGCCCUCCCCUACCUCCUCCUGUCCUCCUUUGAGGCUCAUCUUUAAUAGGCUUGACAUUUUUUAGAAUCAAUUCAUGUUAACUCUUUCAAAUCUAUAGUCAGUAUUUGAAUGUAAUAGUCAAAUGAAGUAUCUUCUUGCCAUUAUAGUUUAUAUAUUUUUUGCAAGCUUGUUGACUUUAUUCCUUUGCUACUGCAUAUCUAAAAGCAGUGUCGUGUUAGCAUUAAGGCAACUAGUAAUGCACUUAUUUAUCAGCUGAAUUAUGUGCUAGUAUUCUUUCUUUCUUUUAAUGUAUGUUUUGUUUGUCUGUUUAAAUAUGAGUCCUUCCUCUUAAUUUCCCUGUUUACCUUGCAUUGUUGUCUUUUCUAUGCAAUUUGGAUAUCGGUUGGGUUGUUGGACCAUCUUCAAGAUUUAACUUCAAAGUGCGUCUGCAAGGAAACCAAAAAAUCAUGAUGUUCGAGCUAGUAGCUUGCUUAAAUGGGCCGGACGGAAACGAAACCUGAGUAUCUCAAAGCAAAUGCACACAAUGCAAAGGAAGCUGCAACGGCUUUGGCUAGGGAAAAAGUGGUGCACUUGGUGCAGUCAUCAUGUGAAGUAAUCUAAAAUUAAGAUUGUGUCUUUGUUGGGUGCUUGUGAAAAUUCCUGUGUUUCCUUAUGGAUACAAUGCAACAAAGAGACCUCCUGAUUGGGCGACUGCUCCAGCCGGAUUGAAUCGAGAAAAGUUUAUCAAAGAUUAUCUUUCAAAUGACUAUCUGCCAGCAAAUGCAUCUAAACAGCAGUUUGAGAAUCUUUACGGGCAACUUCAUUAGUAUCAUCUAUCUAUUUCUCCUCACUCAUUGGAGAGCAACAAAAAGUGCAACAUUAGGCCAGAGAUUGUGGUUGGUGGGAAAGUUAUCCCUGAGGAGAAGCAUGAUGGGACUCCAGUAACAUCCUAUAUUGAUAAAAAUAUGAAAGGAAGAUACAAAAUUUGGAACUGAUUCAAUGGAGGUGGGAGUUGAUGUUCUCGAUGCUAUUUAUCAGAACGCUACUACCAUGGAUGAGGAUACCAUGGAUGAGGAUGAAGAAUCCGUGGCAGCCGUCCACUUCCUUCUUUUACUCUUUGGUGAAGCGCCGCGGUCUGAAGUUUUCAAGACAAUCAUCUUUAGCACCAUCACAAAAAAAAGUUAAGCAGUGUCAGCCAAUCGGUCUUGUCUAUGACUCGCUUGCUAAAAAUUGGAAUAAGUUGUGCAAAUGUGCCUGCUAUCUAUGGCUGAUGGUUCUAGAGGCUCUCAUGGAAGCAAACUUAAGGGUUGAGAGACCAAAUGUAAUAAAACCGGCUGAACCUCAUCACAUUUUGGUUGGUUUGUUUAAAGAAAUGACAAUACACAAACGAAAGGCCCAA